rnacentral:SRP_RNA from 1 species
GCCGGGUGUGGUGGCGGGCACCUAUAAUCCCAGCUACUCUGGAGGCUGAGGCAGAAGAAUCGCUUGAACCCGGGAGGCGGAGGUUGCAGUGAGCCGAGAUCACGCCACUGCACUCCAGCCUGGGUGACAGAGUGAGACUCCGUCUCAA